rnacentral:lncRNA from 1 species
ACAUGGUGCUACAUGCAGAGAAGAAGGAUAAAGUGUCAGAAAGGGAGAGAGAGUGAGAGGAGGUGCCAUGUUUCACGGAGUGUAAGGGAGGACUUCUCUGAAGCUAAACUUCAAAGUGAGAUCUGAAGACAGCAAGGAGACAUCUGACAUUUUGUUUGGAUGUUGGAGGAUCCCAGGGUUCAAUCAAGAAAUUCAAGAAAAUGAAGUGAAUCCUGCAAAGGAGGCCAAGAACCAGCCCAUGAAGUUGAGAACCAAGAGAUGGUGGUCUUGGACAUCAAAAGAAGAGAGGCCACAGAGAAGAAGGAGUGAUCUGACCACUGCAUCGAAUGCUGCUGGGAGGUGGAGGAGGAUGAGCACUGAGAAGUGACUGCCAUGCAUCAGUUUGCAGCAUGAUAACCAUUGGUGGCUCUGACGGGAGUGGAGUGAUGGGGCAGAAACCUAACUGAAUGAGUUUAAGAAAUAAGGUAAGGAGAGGCCGGGCACGGUGGCUCACGCCUGUAAUCACAGCACUUUGGGAGGCCGAGGCGGGUGGAUCAUGAGGUCAGGAGAUUGAGAUCAUCCUGGCUAACAUGGUGAAACGCCGUCUCUACUAAAAAUACAAAAAAAAAUUAGCCGGGCGUGGUGGCGGGCACCUCUAGUCCCAGCUACUCGGGAGGCUGAGGCAGGAGAAUGGCGUGAACCCGGGAGGCAGAGCUUGCAGUGAGCCGAGAUCGCGCCACUGUACUCCAGCCUGGGCGACAGAGCGAGACUGUCUCAAAAAAAAAAAAAAAAAAAAAAGAAAAAGAAAUAAGGAAAGGAGAGGAAACCCUCCUUGCAGAAGACAGUGAGUUCAGACAACUCUUUCAAGGAGUUUUGAAAUACAGUGGAGCAGAAGAAUGAGGCUCUACAGGGUUGUGAGGUGAUGGAAAAGUUUUGGGGUUAGGGAUUGGGGAAUGGAAGACCAUGUGUCAUGGAUCACCCAGCCAGCAUCUGGCGGGGAACAGCCGUGGGGUCAGAGACCUCAUAGCUGCAACCUUGCCAGCCUAGGGUUGCCCAUAACUACUCCGUGUCAUUUUGGCUGUGGCCAGCGCUGGCUGUCAUGUCUCCAAACCUGAUGGCCCCCUAGGUGGGAAUCUCCCAGGAUGUGGGUGCAGCAGCCACCCAGACUUCCCAGUAGGAGGAAGCCUUUCUGACCUGCUGUGUCAUGGACUGUGUGGCCAGUCCAUGAUGAUCUCUUUCUUUAAAGCAAGUGACCCACUUCUAAAAUAAUUCCAAGAAAGACAACCACUUUUGUUGGUAACACUGAGCAUCUGUGCUGACGGUUGCGUAGCCAUGUCUGUAUUGGUCAUCUGCCUUCCUCUGCAGGAGAACUUCACAUUCUUCUAAGCUCCUUCACAGACGGAUCUCAUUUGGAUCUCCAAGCCCCCAUGGGGUAGAAGGGGUAAACAUUAUUUCCGUCAUUUUAUAGUUGGAGACCAGAAAGUUUAGAGACUUGACCAGGGUCACACAGGAAGCUGGUAUUAGGGUCCAGGUAUCCUGAUCCAAGACCAGUGAUCUGGAUUUUUUCGGGUUGCCUGGGUAGCCAGCCUGCUCUCAGCCCUGUGGAGUAUCAGAAAUGUUUUGUCUACAGUGGGGUUCAGGGCAGGGUCUGAGCCUCAUGAGCCCACAUAUGUUCCACACGUGGUGGUAUGGCAGGUGUCUUUAAAGGUCAGGUCCAGACAGCACCAUCAGGAAGCUCUGACCCAGGCCGAAGACCCCCCCCCUUAGGCGUGAGGGGGCCUGAGAGAACCAUCAGAUUAACACUCCAUUCCACAUGCAGGGCCUUCGAGCCUGAGAGCAGGUGGACACCCAAUUUAAUGUCUUGGAUCCCAGCACAGUUGCCACGUCUUUUCACAGAUUCUCCUUACUGGUUUACUCUGGAUUUCUCAAAGUCUUGACAAUAAUGGCAAUGAGACCUCGGCCAUGUGUCAGUUCCUUGGGCCGUGUCACUCUCAGGCCUCGACUCUCACCUUAGAGAGGUUUUCUUUCUCACAGGGGCCCAGCCCCCUCAACACUCUACCCUGGAUAAAGUCUGGCUUCUAGCAUUACCCCCAAGUCCCUCUCCUUUCUAGGCCUUUCCACCUUGCUUCCCAGGCCUCUGGAAACACAAGACCUGCCUUCUGCCCUGAGGCUCCUUACAGGGCAAACAGCAGCUGCUUUUCCUCCUGGGGGAAAUCAGUACUUCAGAGGGAGUGGCUCAGAAGGGCAUAAUUGCUGAUGAGGACAUUUUGGGUAGCUCCCAGAGCUCUGUGGGGACAGACGGCCUUCACAGUAAGCUUCAAAUACUCUCUCUACACCUAUGCCAUGAUACUGUGCUUUCCCUUCCAGCUACUCAGUCAGCUUUAUUGGCUUUCUCUGCCCCUGUCUCUGUCCUCCCUCUCUCUUCUCCAGGCAUAGCACCCAUCACACUGACUGAGUCAUCCGGAAAAUGUGAGAAAUCACUUAAUAAAGAGCUGCCCUGGGGAAAUGGACAGGUAAAUGGCUUUAAAUAAAAGAUUUUGUCUUACGCUUAAUUUAAUAAGAACUAUGCCCCAGUACCUUCACUAGUAAGAAAGAUAGACAGCAGAUAAGUGGAAGAGAUGAACAAGCUGUCAGCACCAGAGCAUGUAAUCUCUGUGAGCUGAAGUUUCCCUCUCCGGAUACAAAUGGGGCCAUGCCAGGGAAAGCAGCUCUCUGCUUUGCCCUGUAGAGAGGAGCAGGGACUGGGAACCAGGCCAGCCUGAUGUCGAUUCCAGAUCCAGCACUUACUAGCUGUGUGACUUUGGGGAAACUACUGAGUUUCUCUGAGUUACAUCCAGGAAACAGGGGUGACAAGGCCUAUUUAACAUGUCCAUUCUACAAAUAUAUGGGAGGUGCCAGACACCAUGUUAAAUGCUGGGGACACACAAGAAGGACCAGCUGUCAGAAACGCCACAGGCAGAGGUGAAAUGGCAAGAAGACUGGAGCAAUAGGGACUGAGCCAGUUCACAGAGGGGCUGGACAAGCUACACCAUCACAGGGGAAGAGGUGCAGCUGGCAUUUGAUGGCACGUGGUCAGGAAUCCUGGAAAAUCAGAUUCCUGUCCUGCAGAUUAUUUCUUCUCCCUUCCUCUCAGCCCCACAAAGUUCCCAUUGGAAGGAACAGGAGCCAAAUAGGAAUCGAAAUUGCACUCAAUUGCUGCACAAGUGCAGGUCUUCGGUUGGGUUGAAGCUUGAGGCUUAGACGCUAAGCUGAAUAAGAUAUCCUGCUUCCCCCCAGGCCCAAAUCCAGUUUGUGAGCUCACCAGCUUCUGGCUGGGAUUGCAUAGCAGAAAUCAGAGGUAGAGGGGAAUUAAUACAGCCAGGUUUGUACAGUAAAAUAUGGACUCAUUUACUAAGUCAACUUGCUCCUCAGCUGGAUGCAGAAAGACACAUGGACGCACAUGAUUCAUUAACGCACGGCAUGCCUGCCUACUUCUCUAUGGCACCAAAUCGGCAGUUCUCAAUGCUGAGCUUCCCAGUUAAUACUUCUUGAAAGAGAGUUGGGAAGAAGCAGCAGAGAGGACCUUAGUAGGAGUGGAGGUUAUAAUAAAUUCUCCUUUCUCCUAAAUGAAUCAGAUUAAGACUCUGAAAGCCUAGUGGGAAACACCAAAGGCUAUUCAGCCAGGUAAGUGGCAAGAUAAGAUUUGCAUCUUUAAGGAGUACAUCUGCCGGUUUUCUUCCCUCACGAUCAACCAGGAAGAAAUGUGAGAUAGAAAACUGUGAGGACACCCUAGCAUGACAGAAACUGUUUUGAUUUGUGGUGUGGGAAGUGACUGGCCUGGGGCUAGACGUGUUCUGGCUUCUAGCACUUCCUAGGAGGCUAAACUGAGCAGUGAACUGCUGGAGUUCUGCUCCUGCUUUUCUACCACCAUUUCUCUGGUCAGACAGGUGCUGUCCUCAUACCUCUGGUGCCUCAGAACUAAAAUCAGACAGAGCAGGAGCCCUGCGCUCAAAAGGAAGUGACAAAAAUAUGUAGGGACCAACUGGCCUCCUUUCCUACUCCAUCUCCUUCCAGUCCUAAGGGCUUGGAAAUUACACCCUAGGGAGUGUCUCCUCCUAAUGCACUUCUCAGUCUGGGGCAUGGGAGGAGGAGGAGAAAAGACCAGAAGUGGCCUGGCAGUUCUUUUGUAGAUUGAGCAGUGAUUGACUGUGUUUUAUGGGAGUGAGGACAGACCUGUGUUAUGACUUUAGUGAGUUCUGUGUACCCUUCCCUCAUAAAAUAUAUUAAAAAUCAUAUUUUAUAGCUGCAUUGAUAUAAAGAUGAAAAUAAUCCAGGCUGGGCCGGGCGCGGUGGCUCACGCCUGUAAUCCCAGCACUUUGGGAGGCCAAGGCGGGUGGAUCACCUGAGAUCGGGGGUUCAAGACCAGCCUGGCCAAUAUGGUGAAACCCAUCUCUACUAAAAACACAAAAAAUUAGCUGGGUGUGGUGGUGGGCACCUGUAAUCCCAGCUACUUGGGAUAAUGAAAUGGGAGAAUUGCUUGAACCCAGGAGGCGGAGGUUGCAGCGAGCCGAGAUUGUGCUACUGCACCGCAGCCUGGGCACAACAGAGCAAGACUCCAUCUCAAAAAAAAAAAAAAGAAAAAAUCCAGGCUGAAUUCGUUCAUUGUUCUAUAUUCAUUACUAUUAUACUUAUUUCUUUCUUCAGCUAGUGAAAUAAACUAGAAAUAAAACACUUCUGUGGGUGCUUAAAAAUGUUGUGGACCCUAGGCACCGUGUGUGCUGCAGCUGGUAGAUAAGCUGGGCCUGGGUGCGGACUGUGGUUUUCAGGUGCUGGAAGCUCUCUCCACCCUCAGGUUUAUUCAUUGCCAUCUCUUGAGUCUUCUGAAAUCUUCACAGACUAGAAUCUGGCCCUCCCCACACAGUUAUUGCCUGACACAUUAGCCAGUACCCUUAGGAGAAAAUGAGCCCCCAGCCCAAAUAGGCCGGCAAUUUGAAAAGCUUGUAAUAUAAGAACCAAGUAGAAGUAUUAGUUAGGAGCUUGUACUCUGAUUAAAGAACACAAUAGAUGGAUAAAUAGCAGGAUGAUUACAACCUAGAAAUGAAUUCCUAAGCCCAAAAUUGAAAUGGAAAAAAGCUCUCAAAGAGAAAAAGGAAAGAAUUAGAACACAUGCAAGGGAAGUUAGGGGA